UACGUAGGGUGCAAGCGUUAAUCGGAAUUACUAGGCGUAAAGCGUGCGCAGGCGGUUAUGUAAGACAGAUGUGAAAUCCCCGGGCUCAACCUGGGAACUGCAUUUGUGACUGCAUAGCUAGAGUACGGUAGAGGGGGAUGGAAUUCCGCGUGUAGCAGUGAAAUGCGUAGAUAUGCGGAGGAACACCGAUGGCGAAGGCAACCCCCUGGGCCUGUAUUGACGCUCAUGCACGAAAGCGUGGGUAGCAAACAGG
rnacentral:rRNA from 1 species